UACGUAGGGGGGCAAGCGUUGUCCGGAAUCAUUGGGCGUAAAGCGCGUGUAGGCGGUUCAGUAAGUCUGCUGUGAAAGUCCAGGGCUCAACCCUGGGAUGCCGGUGGAUACUGUCGGGCUAGAGUACAGAUGAGGUAGGCGGAAUUGACGGUGUAGCGGUGAAAUGCUUAGAUAUCGUCAAGAACACCUAUAGCGAAGGCAGCUUACUAGGCUGUAACUGACGCUGAGGCACGAAAGUGUGGGGAUCAAACAGG
rnacentral:rRNA from 1 species